rnacentral:rRNA from 1 species
AUUGAACGCUGGCGGCAUGCCUUACACAUGCAAGUCGAACGGUAACGGGCCUUCGGGUGCCGACGAGUGGCGAACGGGUGAGUAAUGCAUCGGAACGUACCAUUGAGUGGGGGAUAACGUAGCGAAAGUUACGCUAAUACCGCAUAUUCUGUGAGCAGGAAAGCAGGGGAUCGCAAGACCUUGCGCUCUUUGAGCGGCCGAUGUCGGAUUAGCUAGUUGGUGGGGUAAAGGCCCACCAAGGCUACGAUCCGUAGCGGGUCUGAGAGGAUGAUCCGCCACACUGGGACUGAGACACGGCCCAGACUCCUACGGGAGGCAGCAGUGGGGAAUUUUGGACAAUGGGGGCAACCCUGAUCCAGCCAUGCCGCGUGAGUGAAGAAGGCCUUCGGGUUGUAAAGCUCUUUCGGCCGGGAAGAAAUCGUGUGGGCUAAUACCCUGCAUGGAUGACGGUACCGGAAUAAGAAGCACCGGCUAACUACGUGCCAGCAGCCGCCGCAG